UGGAACUGAGACACGGUCCAGACUCCUAACGGGAGGCAGCAGCUAAGAAUCUUCCGCAAUGGUUGAGAGACUGACGGAGCGACGCCGCGUGAAUGAUGAAGGCCUUUUAGGUUGUACAAUUCUUUUAUAAUAGAUGAAAGUAUAGAUAUAGUUUAUGCUGACCGUAUAUUAUGAAUAAGGUCCGGCUAACUACGUGCCAGCAGCCGCGGUAAAACGUAGGGACCUAGCGUUGUUCGGAAUUACUGGGCGUAAAGGGUAUGCAGGCUGUUAUAUACGUCAGAUGUGAAAGACCCGGGCUCAACCUUGGAAUUGCGUCUGAUACUGUUUAACUUGGGUAGCUGAGAGGAAGUCGGAAUUCCUGGUGUAGGGGUGAAAUCUAUAGAUAUCAGGAAGAACACCAGUAAGCGUAGGCGGACUUCUGGCAGCUUACCGACGCUGAGGUACGAAAGGUAGGGUAGCAAACAGGAUUAGAGACCCUGGUAGUCCUACCUGUAAACGUUGUAUACUAGGUGGUGGAAGUCUAAUAUCUUUCUCUGCCGGAGUUAACGCAUUAAGUAUACCGCCUGGGGAGUAUGCCGGCAACGGUGAAACUCAAAGGAAUUGACGGGGCCCCGCACAAGCAGUGGAGCAUGUUGAUUAAUUCGAUGAUACGCGAGGAACCUUACCAGGUCUUGACAUAUAUCUGACGCACAUAGAGAUAUGUGCUCUCUUCGGAGCAGAUAUACAGGUGCUGCAUGGUUGUCGUCAGCUCGUGCCGUGAGGUGUUGGGUUAAGUCCCGCGACGAGCGCAACCCCUAUUCUUUGUUGCUAACGGGUAAUGCUGAGCACUCGAAGGAAACUGCCGGUGACAAACCGGAGGAAGGUGGGGAUGAGGUCAAAUCAUCACGGCCCUUAUGACCUGGGCUUCAAACGUGCUACAAUGGGUGGUACAAAGAGUAGCCAACCUGUGAAGGGGAGCCAAUCUCAAAAAGCCACCCCAAGUUCGGAUUGGGGUCUGCAACUCGACUCCAUGAAGUUGGAAUUGCUAGUAAUCGCACAUCACCAUGGUGCGGUGAAUAUGUUCCACGGGGCUUGUACACACCGCCCGUCACAUCACCCGAGUUGAUAUACCCGAAGU
rnacentral:rRNA from 1 species